AUGAACGCUGGCGGCGUGCCUAAUACAUGCAAGUCGAGCGAACAGACGAGGAGCUUGCUCCUUUGACGUUAGCGGCGGACGGGUGAGUAACACGUGGGUAACCUACCUAUAAGACUGGGAUAACUUCGGGAAACCGGAGCUAAUACCGGAUAAUAUUUCGAACCGCAUGGUUCGAUAGUGAAAGAUGGCUUUGCUAUCACUUAUAGAUGGACCUGCGCCGUAUUAGCUAGUUGGUAAGGUAACGGCUUACCAAGGCAACGAUACGUAGCCGACCUGAGAGGGUGAUCGGCCACACUGGAACUGAGACACGGUCCAGACUCCUACGGGAGGCAGCAGUAGGGAAUAUUGCACAAUGGGCGGAAGCCUGAUGCAGCAACGCCGCGUGCGGGAUGACGGCCUUCGGGUUGUAAACCGCUUUCGCCUGUGACGAAGCGUGAGUGACGGUAAUGGGUAAAGAAGCACCGGCUAACUACGUG
rnacentral:rRNA from 1 species